rnacentral:lncRNA from 1 species
GACGGUGUCCUAAUCACAAUAUAAGCAGUAUGGAACAAAUGUAAAUUUUUGUGAAAGGCCUAUAAAUGCAAGUGUAACACCCCGAUGAAAUGAGGAUAAUUAUUUAAUUUAAAUUAAUAUAAUAUUUAUUAAUUUAAUUAAUUAAUUGGAUUAUUUUAUUAUUAUUAUUAUUGGAAUAAUAAUUAUUGGAAUAAAAGUUGGAAUUAGAAAAGGUCCCAUUUGGUAAAAGGGUUAUUUUCACGUGAAAAGGAAAAAGGGGCAGAAAAGUGGAAAAAG